UCCCUGGUGGCUCAGAGGAUAAAAGCAUCUGUCUACAAUGCAGGAGACCUGGGUUCAAUCCCUGGGUCGGGAA
rfam:TPA: Bos taurus chromosome 1, whole genome shotgun sequence.